AAGCAGCUGAUCCAGGACCAAAGGUGGUUGGUUCAAAUCCCGGUGUCCCAUAUGGUCCCCCGUGCCUGCCAGGAGCUAUUUCUGAGCAGACAGCCAGGAGUAACCCCUGAGCACCGCCGGCUAUGGCCCCCCAAAAAAAAACAAAAAAAAAACAAAAAAAAAUUCAAAAUAG